ACAGUGGAUACCAGUCAUGGGGUCCUCUCUUUGGCAAGCUCUUCUUUGCUAUUUGGGUCAUUGCCCAUUUGUAUCCUUUCCUCAAGGGUUUGUUGGGUCGGCAAAAUCGUACGCCAACAAUUGUCAUUGUCUGGUCUAUUCUCCUUGCCUCCAUUUUCUCCUUGCUAUGGGUGCGCAUCGACCCCUUCACCUCAGACUCCACAAAAGCUGCCGCAAAUGGCCAAUGUGGAAUCAACUGCUAGAUUGUCUUGGGAUCUUUUUGUCAUGCCAUCUCCUCUCAGAGCCUACCCUCAUGUAUAUAACAAGAAAUCAAGGUACUGAGUGAUGUCAAUUAAUUUAUGAAGAAAGGGUUAGCCUGAACGAUGUAUUUCUUGGUUGGUAGGCACAGUGAAGGACAUAAACACAUCAGAAGAAAACCCUUUCAUUAUAUCAUCUUUGUUGUACCAAAAGGUGUUUCUAUCCAUCCCCACACGAUGAAGAAAGGGUUAGCCUGAACGAUGUAUUUCUUGGUUGGUAGGCACAGUGAAGGACAUAAACACAUCAGAAGAAAACCCUUUAAAUAUGCAUCCAUUGUCUAGAAGUACUUGGCUAAAAAAUUCUUUCCAUGUGUAAGACUGCUUAUCAUGGAAUUUUAAUUUAUCACAGAACUCUCUGAUUGCAAAUCGGCUCGUGUUUGGCAGUGUGGUUGCGGGUGCUUUUCAAAUAAUUUUUC
rnacentral:lncRNA from 1 species